UGUUCUCACUUCAGGUUUAGAUUUAUGGCAUAUACAUUGAAAGCAAACAACGUUUUCUUUAUACCGCCUCGGUAGCCUUGUGGUAGAGCGUCCGCUUCGAGUACCGGAGGUCGUGGGUUCAAUCCCCGGACGCGUCAUACCAAAGACGUAAAAAUGGUACUAGCAGCUUCCUCGCUUGGCGCUCAGCAUUAAGAGGGUAGUGCUGUAGUGCUAGGACUGGUCAGUCCGGUGUCAGUAUUAUGUGACUGGGUGGGGUAUCAUGCCACGUGUCUACGGCGAGAUAUUCCAGUGAGGCAGCACUGCAAAGUUGGGAAUUAUACUCACUGCUACAACUAGACACCGUCGUUUAUAUGACUGAAAAAUUGUUGAAAAAGACGUUAAACCCGAACACUCGCACACACGUUUUCCUUUCCAUUCUAUGUUUAAUUACUUCGAAAUGCGCAAUUUGCUACCAAUUUAAAUGUCAAAGCGGGAAACAGACACGCGUAAACGAGCAUUACGUCAGACUUUAAACGACGUUACAAAGACGUACACAACAGACAGUUCCAUUUUAUUUCAUUUUUUUUAAAGCAUUACAUUAUGAAAUCCUCGUUACGUAAAAUUAUUUGAAUAUGUAUAUUAUAUAAGGCACAAAGCGCAACUACAAUUUACAUCCCGAUUUACGCGGAAAAAAAACCAUUAAUACACAAUAUAACAGUAGACUGGCAACAGCAAUAUCACUCAUAGUGGGCGAUAUGGUUCCAUCUGAGAAAACAUAGUAUUUUAUCAAUUUGCUUAAAAUGAAAACAAUUUUCUUUAACGUACUUAAUUCAAUGUAAUGUUACAUCAGUCGUUUCUUUUACGCUACAGUUAUGGUGCCUUGAAAAAAGAAGGUACAGGUGGUGGCUUUGCAACGUUUGAGAAGGAUCCAUAUGACACCAUUCAAUACUUCUACGCAUGCUGCGAUGAAAAGACUGACAGACACUUAUGUCACCUUUUCUACGAAAUGAACCCGUCUGACGAUUGCUCCAGAUUCCAGCCUUCGGACGAGCCAGUUUGAAGAUACAGGCGGAGGCGGUAUACAGACACGAUAAAAGCAGGACUUGACAAUGAAAUACUUGGAAAGAAGGAUAUCUAAAGUUCAACGUCGUUGUAACUGGCAAAAAGACAUUUUAAUUCAGUAAAACAUAAACAAAAACAAACGCGCAAAAGAAUAUCACAAAUCAUUUUUAUGUCUUUGCAAACUACUUUUCAAGAUGACAUAUUAGUAUGGUUGUCUGUUUUUAUAGGGAAAGUUUCAGUAUCUGUAUAAAUAGAUUACCAAGACCGACUUUAUUUCAGUUAAAAUUAGUCAUUUCAUUUUAUUUUCAUAGAUAUUGUCUAGACUUUCAAUUACUGCGUUUUGUGUCGUGUUUUCUUUGUGUAUGUUUAUUAACUUUAGUAUGUAUUUGAAAUUGUUUCAGCACGCUGAGCUGAAGAAUUUAUCUUAAAGGCGUGAACCUUCUUUGUGAUUUGACUAUUUACAUGCAUUUUCCUAACUCAGCUAUAUUUUGAUUAAACAGGCACAUUUAUGUACAGUAGAUAUUAUUUUUACUUGUAUAUUAACAGCAUUAUAUUUCCAUAAUAAAUAACAUUUAUCAGCUGUCA